CCCUCUCGGGUUACCGAAUUCAGACAAACUCCGAAUGCCAAUUAAUUUAACUUGGGAGUCAGAACAUGGGUGAUAAGGUCCGUGUUCGAAAGGGAAACAGCCCAGACCACCAGCUAAGGUCCCAAAAUAUAUGUUAAGUGGAAAAGGAUGUGGCGUUGCCCAGACAACUAGGAUGUUGGCUUAGAAGCAGCCAUCAUUUAAAGAGUGCGUAAUAGCUCACUAGUCGAGUGACACUGCGCCGAAAAUGUACCGGGGCUAAACAUAUUACCGAAGCUGUGGAUUGUCCUUUGGACAAUGGUAGGAGAGCGUUCUAAGGGCGUUGAAGCAUGAUCGUAAGGACAUGUGGAGCGCUUAGAAGUGAGAAUGCCGGUGUGAGUAGCGAAAGACGGGUGAGAAUCCCGUCCACCGAUUGACUAAGGUUUCCAGAGGAAGGCUCGUCCGCUCUGGGUUAGUCGGGUCCUAAGCUGAGGCCGACAGGCGUAGGCGAUGGAUAACAGGUUGAUAUUCCUGUACCACCUAUAAUCGUUUUAAUCGAUGGGGGGACGCAGUAGGAUAGGCGAAGCGUGCGAUUGGAUUGCACGUCUAAGCAGUAAGGCUGAGUAUUAGGCAAAUCCGGUACUCGUUAAGGCUGAGC
rnacentral:rRNA from 1 species